UACAGAGGGGGCAAGCGUUGUUCGGAGUUACUGGGCGUAAAGGGCGCGUAGGCGGCCUUCUAAGUCGAACGUGAAAUCCCCGGGCUCAACCCGGAAACUGCGUCCGAUACUGGAAGGCUUGAAUCCGGGAGAGGGAUGCGGAAUUCCAGGUGUAGCGGUGAAAUGCGUAGAUAUCUGGAGGAACACCGGUGGCGAAGGCGGCAUCCUGGACCGGCAUUGACGCUGAGGCGCGAAAGCUAGGGGAGCAAACGGG
rnacentral:rRNA from 1 species